CUGUCGGCGUGCCUAAUACAUGCAAGUCGAACGCUUCUUUCCUCCCGAGUGCUUGCACUCAAUUGGAAAGAGGAGUGGCGGACGGGUGAGUAACACGUGGGUAACCUACCCAUCAGAGGGGGAUAACACUUGGAAACAGGUGCUAAUACCGCAUAGCAGUUUAUGCCGCAUGGCAUAAGAGUGAAAGGCGCUUUCGGGUGUCGCUGAUGGAUGGACCCGCGGUGCAUUAGCUAGUUGGUGAGGUAACGGCUCACCAAGGCCACGAUGCAUAGCCGACCUGAGAGGGUGAUCGGCCACACUGGGACUGAGACACGGCCCAGACUCCUACGGGAGGCAGCAGUAGGGAAUCUUCGGCAAUGGACGAAAGUCUGACCGAGCAACGCCGCGUGAGUGAAGAAGGUUUUCGGAUCGUAAAACUCUGUUGUUAGAGAAGAACAAGGACGUUAGUAACUGAACGUCCCCUGACGGUAUCUAACCAGAAAGCCACGGCUAACUACGUGCCAGCAGCCGCGGUAAUACGUAGGUGGCAAGCGUUGUCCGGAUUUAUUGGGCGUAAAGCGAGCGCAGGCGGUUUCUUAAGUCUGAUGUGAAAGCCCCCGGCUCAACCGGGGAGGGUCAUUGGAAACUGGGAGACUUGAGUGCAGAAGAGGAGAGUGGAAUUCCAUGUGUAGCGGUGAAAUGCGUAGAUAUAUGGAGGAACACCAGUGGCGAAGGCGGCUCUCUGGUCUGUAACUGACGCUGAGGCUCGAAAGCGUGGGGAGCAAACAGGAUUAAAUACCCUGGUAGUCCACGCGGUAAACGAUGAGUGCUAAGUGUUGGAGGAUUUCCGCCCUUCAGUGCUGCAGCAAACGCAUUAAGCACUCCGCCUGGGGAGUACGACCGCAAGGUUGAAACUCAAAGGAAUUGACGGGGGCCCGCACAAGCGGUGGAGCAUGUGGUUUAAUUCGAAGCAACGCGAAGAACCUUACCAGGUCUUGACAUCCUUUGACCACUCUAGAGAUAGAGCUUUCCCUUCGGGGACAAAGUGACAGGUGGUGCAUGGUUGUCGUCAGCUCGUGUCGUGAGAUGUUGGGUUAAGUCCCGCAACGAGCGCAACCCUUAUUGUUAGUUGCCAUCAUUUAGUUGGGCACUCUAGCGAGACUGCCGGUGACAAACCGGAGGAAGGUGGGGAUGACGUCAAAUCAUCAUGCCCCUUAUGACCUGGGCUACACACGUGCUACAAUGGGAAGUACAACGAGUCGCUAGACCGCGAGGUCAUGCAAAUCUCUUAAAGCUUCUCUCAGUUCGGAUUGCAGGCUGCAACUCGCCUGCAUGAAGCCGGAAUCGCUAGUAAUCGCGGAUCAGCACGCCGCGGUGAAUACGUUCCCGGGCCUUGUACACACCGCCCGUCACACCACGAGAGUUUGUAACACCCGAAGUCGGUGAGGUAACCUUUUUGGAGCCAGCCGCCUAAGGUGGGAUAGAUGAUUGGG
rnacentral:rRNA from 1 species